rnacentral:tRNA from 1 species
GGGGCUAUAGCUCAGAUGGGAGAGCGCGGCCUUUGCAAGGCUGAGGUCACCGGUUCGAUCCCGGUUAGCUCCACCA